rnacentral:rRNA from 1 species
GACGAACGCUGGCGGCGUGCUUAACACAUGCAAGUCGAACGCUGAAGCUCAGCUUUUGUUGGGUGGAUGAGUGGCGAACGGGUGAGUAACACGUGAGUAACCUGCCUCCUUCUUUGGGAUAACGCCCGGAAACGGGUGCUAAUACUGGAUAUUCACUGGUCUUCGCAUGGGGGUUGGUGGAAAGGGUUUUUCUGGUGGGGGAUGGGCUCGCGGCCUAUCAGCUUGUUGGUGGGGUGAUGGCCUACCAAGGCUUUGACGGGUAGCCGGCCUGAGAGGGUGACCGGUCACAUUGGGACUGAGAUACGGCCCAGACUCCUACGGGAGGCAGCAGUGGGGAAUAUGGCACAAUGGGCGCAAGCCUGAUGCAGCGACGCCGCGGGAGGGAUGGAGGCCUUCGGGUUGUGAACCUCUUUCGCUCAUGGUCAAGCCGCAACAAUGGUUGUGGUGAGGGUAGUGGGUAAAGAAGCGCCGGCUAACUACGUG